rnacentral:rRNA from 1 species
AGAUUGAACGCUGGCGGCGUGCUUAAUACAUGCAAGUCGAGCGGUAACAGGUGUAGCAAUACAUGCUGACGAGCGGCGAACGGGUGAGUAAUGCUUCGGAAUCUGCCUAGUAGUGGGGAAUAACUAACCGAAAGGUUAGCUAAUGCCGCAUACGACCUAUGGGUGAAAGCGGGGGAUCGCAAGACCUCGCGCUAUUAGAUGAGCCGAAGUCGGAUUAGCUUGUUGGUGAGGUAACGGCUCACCAAGGCGACGACGGGUAGCCGGCCUGAGAGGGCGACCGGCCACACUGGGACUGAGACACGGCCCAGACUCCUACGGGAGGCAGCAGUGGGGAAUAUUGCGCAAUGGGCGAAAGCCUGACGCAGCGACGCCGCGUGGGGAUGAAGGCCUUCGGGUUGUAACCCUUUCAGCAGGGACGAAGCGAAAGUGACGGUACCUGCAGAAGAAGCGCCGGCUAACUACGCGCAGCAGCCGCGGU